CCUACGGGGGGCAGCAGUAGGGAAUUUUCCACAAUGGGCGAAAGCCUGAUGGAGCAACGCCGCGUGGGUGAAGAAGGUCUUCGGAUCGUAAAACCCUGUUGUUAGAGAAGAAAGUGCGUGAGAGUACCUGUUCACGUUUCGACGGUAUCUAACCAGAAAGCCACGGCUAACUACGUGCCAGCAGCCGCGGUAAUACGUAGGUGGCAAGCGUUAUCCGGAUUUAUUGGGCGUAAGGGGAACGCAGGCGGUCUUUUAAGUCUGAUGUGAAAGCCUUCGGCUUAACCGGAGUAGUGCAUUGGAAACGGGGAGACGUGAGUGCAGAAGAGGAGAGUGGAACUCCAUGUGUAGCGGUGAAAUGCGUAGAUAUAUGGAAGAACACCAGUGGCGAAAGCGGCUCUCUGGUCUGUAACUGACGCUGAGGUUCGAAAGCGUGGGUAGCAAACAGGAUUAGAUACCCUUGUAGU
rnacentral:rRNA from 1 species